GCAGUGGCUGGCCGUAGAGUUCAAGGCGCCGUGCCAAGCAUAGAGCGGAGGAACUCAUCGCCGGCAAUGCCAAGGCAUUAAAAUCUCUACGAAAAUUUAUCAAUUUCAAUCUCCUACUCUCUCGCGAGGCUCAAAUACUCAUCCUCAAGGUACAAUUUCACUUCACAGUUCAUACCAUACUACUUUUAAUAUUCUUGGUAAACCUAAUUCACAACGUUGUAGAGCUCAAUUUUAACUUCCGACAAAGUCGGUUGAUGGCUGUAAGUCAGCCCCGACCUCCGAGCCGCCAUUGUUGCAUAUAUAUAUAGGAUAAUGCUAUAUGACCCAAGUUGGGUUACAAACUUGGGUAACAAAAUGACGUGUAGGGCUGAGAUUAAAAGGCACUGGAUGGCUGUGAUUUAUUAACAGUAAAAAUUGGGUCAACAAGGCGCGAAAACCAAAACCUGGUCUCUGCGUAAUGGAAGGAAGACGAAAUUAGGUCAGUGGAAGGUGCCAAAGACAUUACCCCAUCUUCUACUACCUCACCUUGCAUUUCACGUCCUAAAAUCCACACUUGUGUUUCGUAGAAGAAAGGCAGCAAGUGCCAUGUCCAAUCUCCAUCUCCGGCAGUGGUCAGUCCGAUCUCCAUCUUGGACAGGUCCGGCUCCAUCUCCGGCAGUAGCAGUCCAAUCUCCACCUUCGACAGGUCUGACUCCUUCUCCGGUUGUAGGUAUGUUCCAUUAAUUACAAAAAUUAAUUUUAAACUCUGUUAUACUAGUGUAUGGGAAAUGAAACAGAUUAGAAAAAAAUGCUAAAUAACUAUUUUAGUGCGCUUCAUCUUCUCUCUCUCUCUCUCUAAAUUAUUUUCUUAUGUACCAUUGAAUGCAAUGGAAGGAAAUGAUUGUGAAGCACACGGUUUACUGAUGUUCUAUUUGUCUCCGGCAGUAGCAGUCCAAUCUCCACCUUCGACAGGUCUGACUCCUUCUCCGGUUGUAGGUAUGUUCCAUUAAUUACAAAAAUUAAUUUUAAACUCUGUUAUACUAGUGCCUGCAUUUUUGUAUUCUAUAGACAAACAAUUUGGACGUCUCUUCUGCAUUUUGUUUGUUCAAACAUUACAACCCUCUAGCUUACCUCAGACUUCAUGCUUAUUUGGCAUAUUUGGUCUCGGAAUUUAGUCCACCUGAGCUAGACUCUAUUAAGUUGACAUUUAGUUCCCAGUGGUGCGAAAAUAAUACUCAUAUUUGACAUUUAGGAUUUUAUGAAUUGAGUAUUGUGUGCGGGGUUAUUGAGUACUGCGAUUUUGAACUCAAUCUAAUCAAUUUCCUUGUCUUUUUUUUUUUCAAAUUACAGGUGAGCACAUAAGGUUUCUGGUGUCAGUAAAGUUUGAGGAGGAGAAUGUGGAAUACGACGUGGAAGACUGAGAAAGCUGAAGGAGAACAGUUGGAGAAGGAAAGCUUAUUUUGGGAUGCAAGGCAAAGGUUGUGUAUAUGUUUGGGAUCCAGUUGCUAACAGGGAAAUUUGGAUUUGGAUUUUGAUUGUGGUUUAAUAAAAGUUCCGAUAUGAAUGUCGAUGAGUAUUAUGUAAUAGCUGCUUAUGAAAAAGAAGUGAAUGCAUUUUAUGUAAGAUGUGCAUAUGCCGUAGGUUUUCCAAUUCGGAAGAGGAGUUCGACAAGGGAUGAUCAUGGUGUUUUGAGAUAUGUUACAUUCACAUGUAGUCAAGAGGGACGAAGAAGGGAUAAUUUGUAUGGUAGUUGCUAGGUUGUUCUUAAUCUUUCGAAAGUGCAGUUGGUAUGUUGUUGACAUUGUGUAUUGUAUCAAUUAUUCCCUUGAUUGGUAUUAAAAAAAAAAAAUUUAGCUUUAGAUCUAUAGUUUUGCCUACUAUUUAUUAAAGGAGUGCUUGAUGUUCUUGAGUUUUGUUCAUGAUAAAUUUUGCCUUAAAUCAUUUAAUAUUCUGUAGUUUGCACUGCAUACUUAUGGAGUGAUGAAUUUCCUAUGUAAUAGGUUGAUAAUUGUAUUUGUAACAGG
rnacentral:lncRNA from 1 species